GCAAUGUUAAUGUUGCCCUGCGCUCUGGACAGCAAGGACAUGACGAGGGCAUUCUUUAGGUGACACUCAAACUUUAACGCCUGGAAAGAGACGGAAGUGACAAAAGAAAGUGCCACAGACCAAAUGUGUGUGCAUACAGUGCGUACUUUGAGUCAAGCAUCUCCAGCGCAGUGACAGGAGGCAGAGUGGGCCAGUUGUGCAGCAGGGAGUGGAUGUGAGCUAUGCUGGCCCAGUCCCAGCUGGGCACACUGGCCAGCACCUUGGGGAGGCUGCUGGGGUGGUUCUUUCGACAGUCGAGCCGGUGGU